rnacentral:rRNA from 1 species
AUGGCGGACAUCGCCGUCGACAAGGGCGACAGUAUCCUUGCCCCUCGAUGGAUAGGGGGGCAGUUCCGCCUCACCAUGGAGGCAGAGCACCUCAUGGCAGAGGUGCACCUCGAGGCGGAGCACGCGGACAUUGUCGCCCCUACCGAGCUCUACACCAACCAAGCCUUCGUUGUGGAAAACACACCAUCCUCGAGGCAGUGA